CAAUAGCGUAUAUUAAAGUUGUUGCAGUUAAAAAGCUCGUAGUUGGAUUUCGGGUGGGAAUGGCCGGUCCGCCGUUUCGGUGUGCACUUGCUACGCCCACCUUGCUGCCGGGGACGUGCUCUUGAGUUCACGCUCGGGACACGGAGUCGGCGAGGUUACUUUGAGUAAAUUAGAGUGUUCAAAGCAGGCCUACGCUCUGAAUACAUUAGCAUGGAAUAACACGAUAGGACUCUGGCCUAUCUUGUUGGUCUGUAGGACCGGAGUAAUGAUUAAGAGGGACAGUCGGGGGCAUUCGUAUUUCAUUGUCAGAGGUGAAAUUCUUGGAUUUAUGAAAGACGGACUACUGCGAAAGCAUUUGCCAAGGAUGUUUUCAUUAA
rnacentral:rRNA from 1 species